AAUUCUCAACCAUCUUUUGAUCGAUUUCGAGGGAUGGCUUGGAUCUUGGGAGUUUGCUGGCCGAGUCCUUCGGGACGGGGUCGGCUCUCCUUAAAAGCAUUAGCGAAAGGCGACAAAGCCCUGCAUGCACGGCCUUCGACGUGAUAAUGAUCGUCGUGGCUGGAGUGCGAGGCGUAGAUCGUCCUUUGCUUCCAAAAACCAUGGUAUUGGAGACUUUGCUUCGGCGGACGAACCUUUUACCUUUUGAC
rnacentral:misc_RNA from 1 species